rnacentral:Y_RNA from 1 species
GGCUGGUUCAAUACUAGCAGGUUACCAGAACUUAUUAGUGUCACUAAAGUUGGCAUAAAUCCCCCACUGCUCAAUUUGACUGGCUGAAA